CUGCCAAUGUGACAUUAUUUUAACAAAUAAAUUUGACCUUUUUCUUAGUCAUACUAUAAAAGCAAAUCCUUCAAUAUGUUGAAACUUUAUAAUUAGUGAUGAUACUGACAGGAAAUCUAAGAAGUGACUUUGAGUCAUGAUGGACCCCGAGAUUGAGAACCAGCUACCUUGUCAAAGUGCUUCACCUUAUAAAAAAGAAGAGAGUGGUGAUCAGUUGCUCAAAGUCACACAGUGGUGAGAAACUCCAGGGACAUUUAACUCUGGGCUUAUUUAGUCCACAGACACUUAUUGAGCUUCUUCUGUGUCUAAGGCCUCUUCUCCAACAAAAUGGUGAAUAAGACUCCACCUACUACAAGGAUUGGGAGAAUAAUAGAGAGUGGAAUGGGAACAACUGCACUCCUCUGCAACCUUCCCACAGAACAGACUUCUAAAGGAAACAUUUGGCCAGAGGACAAGGCCCAGCAAACAUGCAUUCUUUUUACUACUAUUCCAGUAUAACUCCUGGUGAGUGAAAUUGAGUGACAUGGAAGAUCCUUUUGUCUAAAACUAAACCUUUUCUUUCUGACCAUCCUGUGCUAACACCCAAGCCUUAGUCCUUCAAAUUUUACCCUGCAGGAAAAAUAGAUUCAUAGCAAGAAAGCUAGAAGGUAAAUUGGAAUUGGAGGUGUAGUGGGGUGGUGUGAAAAAUCUUUUAGAAGACUUGUUUUUCAAAAUACACUCCUCUAUAAACAUUAGGG
rnacentral:lncRNA from 1 species